GCGUCGUUAGAGCAAUAGGCAGCGCGUCAGUCUCAUAAUCAAAUCUAGAAAUCUGAAGGUCGUGAGUUCGAUCCUCACACAGGGCA
rnacentral:tRNA from 1 species